CAAAGCUCGCCUCUGCCUUCACCAAGAUCUGCUCUUCAUGGUCUAGCGAGGUGGCACCUGGCAGGGCCCCUGGCGCUGGGCUGGGGUCUGAGCCUGGCUUCUGGCCCCAGCUCUGCCCUGACAGGUCCAGUCUCUCUGCAGGCCUGGGCAGAGCCCCGAGGACCCUCUGCCCUGAUUGUGAGGCAGGAGCAGGAAGCAGGGUGACAGCACCGACUGCUGCCCACAGUGUCCUUUCAGUAGGUGCCUGAGGAGCAGCCCACUCCCGGGAGGCACUCACCCCUCCCCAAACUAGCCCCUCCACACACAGCACCCCCAGCCCCCGCAGAGGGCAGGGACGGCGGUACCACUGCUGGAGUACCAGCUAGAUACCAGGAGUGACAGGCUGCCUCUGUGCUGGCCACUUGCCAUGGAUUCAAGCAGACACUGUCACUGUACCCAUUUUACACACGAGAAGACUGAAGCUCCGAAAGUCAACUUGCUCAAGGUCACCACCGACCAAACACAAGGCCAGCUGACCCCAGUGGGCACAGUGCCUUGGGCCCACAGCACUUUGAGGGGCCCAGGAAAAUGUUUAACUUCACUCAAAUCAAAAGAGGAAAAAAUGAACUUUUAAAGUAAAGACAAUGCUUUCAGAUAUAACACUAAUAUAUUCACCUUUAUACCAAUACAGCAGCAAAAUAUAGUUAACAUUUUUUUUUUCUCUUUUAGUAAGGAAAGGGAUUGACAAAGGCCAAAGUGCCCGGGGUUUGUGGAAGUCACCACAUACUCACAGGCAGAACUUGAACUCAGAGCUGUUCCCUUCAAAGGUCCUGUCUGUCAAAGAAUCCUCCAGUGUCCUCCCAGCCUCUAAGGGGGACAAGCUGGGGGAGCUGAAGGGUCUACCCGUGUCCCUGGGAGCGUCACAGCCAGACACCCAGCUGGCCACAAUCCCAAGUGGGCAAGCUGGCCGGGCUCGAUUCCUGGCCUUCCAAGAAGCUGCUGGAGCAGAGAGACAUUUCAGGAGACUCCUUCAGGGAGAGAAGGCAGAGAACAAAGAGAGCCGGGGUAGGUGCUCACUCCUAAGCCGGAACACAUAGACAAGAAUGAUAAAGAUUAUCUGGAAGAACAUUCCAACUUUUCUUCUUCACUUGAAAGAAAACAGGAGGCAGCCUCCACCAUGGGAAUUCUGCCUAUGAAAGUCCAGGAAUAGCCCAAGGAGACAAAGAGUGCUGGCUUUGAGGAUACCCAGACCUGGGUUGAGUCCAUACUCGGCUAUUUAGUUUGCUAUGUGGCCUUGAAAAAGUUGCUUGACCUUUCUGAUUCCAUUUUCCCUUUUGUAACAUGGGAAUAAUAGCAACCCCAACCCCCAUAGGGGGUUGUAGUGAGAAUUGGCUGAAAUUUAAAAAUUUCUAUAUAGUAAAGCCCUUGCAAGGACUAAAAAAAAAACCAAAAGAAUAUUCACUUAUUUCUUGGGGAAAGAAAAAAAAAAAAACCUGAUUUGGACAACCCUAGGGCCUUGAGCAAUUAUGCCGUGGCCUUGCCUAAGACAUUGAUAAAUCUGUGCAGUAACCAGGGUCACACCGAGGGGUCGACCUCUUUCUCCCUCCAGGUCUUUGAGGGGAGUUUAGAGACGAGGUAGUGAUCUUGCUAAUAAAAGAGGUGACUUGCCUCCAAUUAAGGCGUCACCAGAGUCAGAAAUGCAUCAGCUGGGUGACUUGGUGAUUCAUGCCACUCUUGCGCCUUCCAAGUCCAGGAUUGCUCAACCCACGGCAGAAACCGUGAAAUGAGAGCAAAGGCCUGAGUAACAACCAGGUGAGGGUCCCGCACAGGUGAGCAGCCAUCGGUCUAGCAGGAGGGCCUGUCCCCCGGGAGGCUCAGGGCUAGAGUUAGAAUCACGCCAGGAGGAGGAACCCCCAGAGCUCUUGGCUAGACAGCCUCCCCCCGAGAACUGCACCUCCCUCCUGCAACCCGGGUCCCACAGCAGCACAUUUCAAACUGCGCGUGCGCAGGCACAGCCUGGGAUGCCAGUAACACUUGGCUUCAGACUGAGCGGGUCUGGGAUUCUCCUUCCCUUUCCUCCCCUCCUGCCCGUCCCCUCCCUUCCCCUCUGCCCCCUUUUCAUCUCCUUUCCUAGGGCCUUGCCAAGUUGCUGAGGCUGGCUUUGAACUUGUGAUUCUCCUGCCUGAGAAUCCCGAGCUGCUGGGAUUACAGGCGUGCCCCAGAAUUCGUCUGGGCUGAAUUCUGCAUUUCUGACACACUCUGGGCUGGUGCUUCAGAGCAUUAAGGACCCUGACUCUCCUCCUGGCCCCGUGACCUCUUGGGCUGUCCUCCACCAGGAACAUGGCUCAGCUUUACUCAGAAACAUGGGAUCCGAGGACCCAACUGCACUGCUAAAAACUGGAUCCCUUGGGAUCUCUGUUAUUUGUGGGGAUGCAGGGAUAAAAAAUGGAUUCAACAGCAUGGCUGGCACAUACUGUGAUCUCCAUUACUUGGGGGGCCGAGGUAGAAGGAUGGCAAGUUCAAGCCCAGUCUGGGCAACUUAGCAAACCCCUUGUCGCAAGAUAAAAAUGAAAAGGGCUGGGGACCUAGCUGAGUGGCAGAGCAACUGCCUAGCACACGCGAGGUCCUGGAUUUCAUCUCCAGUGUGUGUAUGUACCCACGCAUGUAGCAGGAUAAUUUAUUGAAAAGUUAAAUUUCUUUUCAUCUCAACAUACCUGCUCUACAUACUCUGUUCAGGCAAGUAGCAAGACCCCUUGAUGUCUGCCCUCAACCCCGGUGCUGGGGACUGGAUCCAGGGGUGCUCUUACCACUGAGUUACAUCCCCAGCCUUUUUAUUUUUUUGACACAGGAUCUCACAAAAUUUCCAAAGCUAGCCUUAAACUUGUGAUCCUUCUGCGCUGCUGGAAUGACAGGCGUGCACCACCGUGCGUGGCCUCUGGAUGCCUUCUUGCCCAAGGCUCUCUAAAUUACAACUAAGUACAGAAAUCAGACAAUUCCUUUUAAAAACAGAAGGCUCCAGAUAAAGCUGGGCCCUCUCCCAACACCCC
rnacentral:lncRNA from 1 species